rnacentral:lncRNA from 10 species
CUUUUAUUCCUUUACUUUCUUAACAAACUUGCUUUCACUUUAUGGACUCACCCUGAAUUCUUUCUUGCACAAGAUCCAAGAACCUUUUCUUGGGUUCUGGAUCAGGACCCCUUUCCAGUAACAGUUCUAACUCAAAAUAGAGCUUGUCUGAGAGGGCUCCUGUCAACUCCCCCACUGUGGCAGAUUGGAUUGUACCUUCUGAAGACGGCCAAAAUAACAGCUCCCAUCCCGCAUGCUCUUCUGCCAUGGGACUUGCUGCUCUCCCACCGAGAGGUGACAAGGUAGCACAUUUGUACAUAAUAAGGCUGGCCUGGGGAUGGAGGGAGUCCCUGCCCUGACUGUGACUCAGUGAGACUCUUUGCCUGGUCCUAGUCCAAGAGAAACGCAUGCUAUGAUCUCACUGAAGUCUGAAGUGACUCUGAAACUUUGCAGUAAAAAGAAAAUUUCAUCCUUUAAGAUGAGUGGCCCUGGAACCACGGCAGCCAUAUUGCCACCAGCUGGAAGACGAAGCCAACGGUGGGAGAAGACAGAGCUGGUCGAAUCCCCCAGGAGUAAAAUGCAGCCUGUAGUACCCUUCCUGGAUUGUAUCUUACUUGGAGUCUUCUUGUUCUGGGAGGCAAUAAAUUUCUUUGUUAUUUAAGCCAUGAUGAAUCAGCGUUUUCAAUUAUUUGCAGCCAAAAGCAUCCUAAGCAAUAGCCAAGUAUGCAUGGAAGUUCAUGCACUUCUCUCACAGAACAUUAUGUCAGACAUUUAGUUCUAGGAAACAGGCUUAUCUGAUUUCUCAGUUCUAGGAAGCAGGCUUAUCUGAUUUCCUAGUUUCUGGCAGAUUAGAAAUAACUUUCUCUAUUCUCUAGAAAUAGAGAAAGUUAGAGACAGGCA